UACGGAGGAUCCAAGCGUUAUCCGGAUUUAUUGGGUUUAAAGGGUGCGCAGGCGGAAUGAUUAGUCAGUGGUGAAAUCCUAGAGCUUAACUCUAGAACUGCCAUUGAUACUGUCAUUCUUGAGUAUAAUUGAUGUGGGCGGAAUGUGUCAUGUAGCGGUGAAAUGCUUAGAUAUGACACAGAACACCGAUCGCGAAGGCAGCUCACAAAGCUAUAACUGACGCUCAGGCACGAAAGCGUGGGGAUCAAACAGG
rnacentral:rRNA from 1 species